AUACGGAGGGUGCAAGCGUUACUCGGAAUCACUGGGCGUAAAGCGCGCGCAGGCGGCUAUUUAAGUUGGAUGUGAAAGCCUACGGCCCAACCGUAGAACUGCAUCCAAAACUAUUUAGCUAGAGUGUGGGAGAGGAAGAUGGAAUUAGUCGUGUAGGGGUAAAAUCCGUAGAGAUAACUAGGAAUACCAAAAGCGAAGGCAAUCUUCUGGAACACUACUGACGCUGAGGCGCGAAAGCGUGGGGAGCAAACAGGAUUAGAAACCCUAGUAGUCC
rnacentral:rRNA from 1 species